AGUGAACGCUGGCGGUAGGCCUAACACAUGCAAGUCGAACGGCAGCACAGUAAGAGCUUGCUCUUACGGGUGGCGAGUGGCGGACGGGUGAGGAAUACAUCGGAAUCUACUUUUUCGUGGGGGAUAACGUAGGGAAACUUACGCUAAUACCGCAUACGACCUACGGGUGAAAGCAGGGGAUCUUCGGACCUUGCGCGAUUGAAUGAGCCGAUGUCGGAUUAGCUAGUUGGGGGGGUAAAGGCCCACCAAGGCGACGAUCCGUAGCUGGUCUGGGAGGAUGAUCAGCCACACUGGAACUGAGACACGGUCCAGACUCCUACGGGAGGCAGCAGUGGGGAAUAUUGGACAAUGGCCGCAAGCCUGAUCCAGCCAUACCGCGUGGGUGAAGAAGGCCUUCGGGUUGUAAAGCCCUUUUGUUGGGAAAGAAAAGCAGCAGGUUAAGACCCCGCUGUUCUGACGGGACCCAAAGAAGAAGCACCGGCUAACUUCGU
rnacentral:rRNA from 1 species